UACUAAUGACAUUAUUGGGACCUGCUCUAGC
rnacentral:piRNA from 1 species